rnacentral:lncRNA from 1 species
CGAAACCAAACACGCAUCUAUUUGCAUCUCUCAGCACAAAGAACACAGAAGGAAAGAAAGGGAAAAAGUGUGAACUUAAAAAUGGUUGUGGAAGAUUCACAAAAAUCAACUAUCACCGAUGACCAAAACCCUAGCAGGGUCGACAACGACGACGACGAUCUCGAAGAUGGGGAGAUCCUCGAAGAUGCCGACGACGCUGCCUCCGCUGCCUCCAAGCCUCCGUCCGCACUCCUCCGCAACCCCCACCCUCUCGAGAAUUCCUGGACCUUCUGGUUCGACAGCCCUUCUGCCAAGUCCAAACAAGCCGCAUGGGGCAGUUCCAUCCGACCCAUAUACACCUUCGCCACCGUCGAAGAGUUUUGGAG